UAGUACGGCGAGUGAAGCGGCAACAGCUCAAAUUUGAAAGCUGGCCUUCGGGUCCGCAUUGUAAUUUGUAGAGGAUGCUUUGGGUGAAACGCCAGUCUAAGUUCCUUGGAACAGGACGUCAUAGAGGGUGAGAAUCCCGUAUGUGACUGGAAAUGUUAACCUAUGUAAAGCUCCUUCGACGAGUCGAGUUGUUUGGGAAUGCAGCUCUAAAUGGGAGGUAAAUUUCUUCUAAAGCUAAAUAUUGGCGAGAGACCGAUAGCGCACAAGUAGAGUGAUCGAAAGAUGAAAAGCACUUUGGAAAGAGAGUUAAAAAGCACGUGAAAUUGUUGAAAGGGAAGCGCUUGCAAUCAGACUUGUUUAAACUGUUCGGCCGGUCUUCUGACCGGUUUACUCAGUUUGGACAGGCCAGCAUCAGUUUCGGCGGCCGGAUAAAGGCUCUGGGAAUGUGGCCUUCACUUCGGUGAAGGUGUUAUAGCCCAGGGUGUAAUACGGCCAGCCGGGACUGAGGUCCGCGCUUCGGCUAGGAUGCUGGCGUAAUGGUUGUAAGCGACCCGUCU
rnacentral:rRNA from 1 species